rnacentral:rRNA from 1 species
AACGAACGCUGGCGGCAGGCCUAACACAUGCAAGUCGAACGCCCGUAGCAAUACGGGAGUGGCAGACGGGUGAGUAACGCGUGGGAACGUGCCCUUCGGUUCGGAAUAACUCAGGGAAACUUGAGCUAAUACCGGAUACGUCCGUAAGGAGAAAGAUUUAUCGCCGAAGGAUCGGCCCGCGUCGGAUUAGCUAGUUGGUGAGGUAACGGCCCACCAAGGCGACGAUCCGUAGCUGGUCUGAGAGGANGAUCAGCCACACUGGGACUGAGACACGGCCCAGACUCCUACGGGAGGCAGCAGUGGGGAAUAUUGGACAAUGGGCGGCAAGCCUGAUCCAGCGAUGCCGCGUGUGUGAAGAAGGCCGGCGGGUUGUAAAGCACUUUCAGUAGGGAAGGAAAAGACCGAGUGCUAAUAUCACUCGGUCUUGUACGUUACUUACAGAAGAAG